rnacentral:misc_RNA from 1 species
CAGAGUGUAAAAACUCCCAAAACCCACUGUUUAUUUAUCUUUUAACGGUUUCCUUUGGUAGGCAAUCCCAGGGCGGGAUUGGUUUUGCUGUUUUUACAGCGCCUACCAAAGAUACCUAAAACUCUUGAAUUUUUAAAACUCUGAGUAACAAAACAAAUAAAUUA